rnacentral:rRNA from 1 species
AAGUCGAACGAUGAACCUCCUUCGGGAGGGGAUUAGUGGCGAACGGGUGAGUAACACGUGGGCAAUCUGCCCUUCACUCUGGGACAAGCCCUGGAAACGGGGUCUAAUACCGGAUACGACCUCCGACCGCAUGGUCUGGUGGUGGAAAGCUCCGGCGGUGAAGGAUGAGCCCGCGGCCUAUCAGCUUGUUGGUGGGGUGAUGGCCUACCAAGGCGACGACGGGUAGCCGGCCUGAGAGGGCGACCGGCCACACUGGGACUGAGACACGGCCCAGACUCCUACGGGAGGCAGCAGUGGGGAAUAUUGCACAAUGGGCGAAAGCCUGAUGCAGCGACGCCGCGUGAGGGAUGACGGCCUUCGGGUUGUAAACCUCUUUCAGCAGGGAAGAAGCGAGAGUGACGGUACCUGCAGAAGAAGCGCCGGCUAACUACGUGCCAGCAGCCGCGGUAAUACGUAGGGCGCAAGCGUUGUCCGGAAUUAUUGGGCGUAAAGAGCUCGUAGGCGGCUUGUCGCGUCGGAUGUGAAAGCCCGGGGCUUAACCCCGGGUCUGCAUUCGAUACGGGCAGGCUAGAGUUCGGUAGGGGAGAUCGGAAUUCCUGGUGUAGCGGUGAAAUGCGCAGAUAUCAGGAGGAACACCGGUGGCGAAGGCGGAUCUCUGGGCCGAUACUGACGCUGAGGAGCGAAAGCGUGGGGAGCGAACAGGAUUAGAUACCCUGGUAGUCCACGCCGUAAACGUUGGGAACUAGGUGUGGGCGACAUUCC